rnacentral:rRNA from 1 species
UACGGAGGAUCCAAGCGUUAUCCGGAUUUAUUGGGUUUAAAGGGUGCGUAGGCGGACUUAUAAGUCAGUGGUGAAAGCUCCCGGCUUAACCGGGAAAUUGCCGUUGAUACUGUUAGUCUUGAGUACAUAUGAGGUGGGCGGAAUGUGUCGUGUAGCGGUGAAAUGCUUAGAUAUGACACAGAACACCGAUUGCGAAGGCAGCUCGCUAAACUGUAACUGACGCUGAGGCACGAAAGCGUGGGUAGCAAACAGG